GCUCAGAGUAUAAGCCAAUGGAGCUUGGAAGGCUUCCGCAUAUCCCGUUCAUCAUACGUGGUGUUCGCAAGGCAUGAAGCGCGGUUCGUUAGGUGGAGCAUUGAGUUUGCCGCCCAACUGUCGUGCGGGGAGGAGGUUCGGGUGUUUUAGGCUUCGGCCGAACAGCGCCCGGCCGUCUCCUUUUGAAUGAGCGUUCAGAGCUUCCGUGUCUAAUGCGGUCACGCCCACCACGGCCCGUUGUGAGGUCACCCACAGGCUCAAACUGCCGAUCGCGCAUCCAGGACGAUGUGGCAAUGACGCGUUGUGCUUUUGACUGGCUGCUUUUUUGUGUGCGUCGGUUAUCACGCGUGCCUAGUCCUGGGUCGGGCGGCGACCGAGAUAAACCUGGUAUGAUCCUCUUGCGACGAGUUGCUUUCUGGCCAGACCGACGUCCAGGCGCUUCCACUGUGCCGGAAGCGUCAACCCCAGGCGGUGUGAACCCAGCUGCAAUUACGCAUGGUCUCUCAGCCGGGCGUUGGUCUGAGUGGUGUUAAGUCCAGCACCGUCGGUCACGUCUCGAAACACGGGCCAAGGAGUAUAGCAUGUGUGCAAGUCUAAGGGUCUCCCAAAACCCGAAGGCGAAGUGAAAGCAAGACUGUGGCGGGGGAGCUACGGCGAACCCGCCGGCCAUGUGGCGACGCUUGCGUUGCCUGGCUUCUAACAGAGCUGAUCCUGCUUUGUCGGUUAAUUCUUGGUGCAGGCGCAAGCUCCGGGCUCACGUACAACACCGGUGACGCUUCGUG
rnacentral:rRNA from 1 species